GAGGACAGGGUGUUGGGGAGACAGAGCCCGGCGUGGGAGAGAGAGGAGGUGAACUUGGACUCCCGGAGCGUGAUCCCCCAAGCGGGACCCAUAGUCGGGCGCCUAAAGCCACGGCCUUCGGUCCCUGCUGUCAUUCAGUCCCAGUUUCGAGACAUCGUUCUGCCAAUCUCAAGAGGCUCUUGACACCUGCUUCCUCCCGUGAACAAGAACUUGGUGGGUGGGGUUCACUUCCCUCUCCCUGUCCAAUCCCAUCUCUCGUGCCAACAUCAUUCAAGCUGUGUUUUACAAAACAGCUAGCCUGUACCCCGUGAACACAGGUAUCAUGUUGCAAUAAAAAACAAUGUAAGAUUUA